UUAGUUCUUUAAACUUUCAUUUAUUAGGUAUUUUAUAUUCUGUUGUUAACUCCCCUAUCUGAAUUUCUUCUAGAUCUGUGUUAGUUACAGUAUAGACUUGACUGCUUUAACAUACAGACCCCAAACAAUAAGAUAGACAUUUAUUCGUUGUCCAAGUAGGUAGUCCAGUACUGAUAUGGAAAGUCCAAUCUACAAUCCACAGGUCUCCAAGUCCUUUCUCUCAUUACACUGCUAUUCUCAACAUUUCAUCAGCUCCCACCAUCUUGUCCACAGUCCAGACAGCAGAAAAGAGAAAAUGGGAGUCACCCCUACCUUUUGAUAGCUGGGCCUGAAAGUGACACACACUGCUUCUGCUCACAUCUCACAGGAAGGUACUGGAAGAAGAAGAGGAACAGCGUACAAGAACUACAAGUACACCUUUUGUGGGAAACAGCCAGUUCAAAAUCUUCCCAAUCAUCAGUUAUACUUUUCUUGGGAUUAUGAAAUUAAAACAUUCUGUACUUGGUUAUUUUCACAAGCCUUAUCAUCUUCAAAUACUCCCUCCUUUGCCCAUCCCUCAAAAGGUUAACAGUGGGAAAUUUUUCUUUAAAAGUAAACUAUGUUCUUUUCUUUAAAAUAACCGUUAUAGAGAAAUUAUUCCUUUAAGUAGUCAUGCUUUUAAAUUGCUUGGAGGUGAUUACAUAUGAACCUUCCUAUAAACUUGUAUCUCUCUCAUUUAAAAGAAAAGAGGAAGGAAAGGAAUUAGCCCAUUAAUUAUUUAAAAUACUUGGUGCAACUGUUUCUAUGAAUUAAUCCAGGCACUUGGAAGACAAUUACACUCCGUGUUAAUAUCAUUGCCAACCUUUUCCACUAUGCUGCACUCCAAAUACUAUUGUGUUUUCAAU
rnacentral:lncRNA from 1 species